AUGAAUGAUCGUUUGCUACGGCCGUUCAGAGCAAAAGAAGUGGAGGCCGCGUUGUUCUCCAUGAAGCCAUCAAAGGCGCCGGGGGUGGACGGGUUCACUGCGGGCUUCUUCCAACGCCACUGGCCAGUACUAAAGGAAGAGGUCACUAGUGCAGUUUUGGAGUUUCUUAACGGGGGUGUGAUGCCAGAGGUUAUAAACAAAACUGUGAUAUGUUUGAUUUCGAAAAUAAAAUUUCCAAAGAACAUUACCCAGUAUAGGCCGAUCUCUCUCUGCAAUGUCAUUUAUAAAAUAUGUUCUAAGGUUCUUGCGAACAGGUUAAGGGAGAUUCCGGAUGAUGUUAUUUCUGAGAAGCAAAGUGCCUUUGUGCCGGGAAGGCUCAUUACUGACAAUGUAUUGACAGCAUAUGAGUGUGUUCACUCCAUGAAGAGGAAAAGAGGUAAGCAAGGGUGGUGUGCGGUAAAAUUGGAUAUGAUGAAGGCAUACGACCGGGUAGAGUGGGCAUAUCUGCAAGGGAUUAUGCAACAACUGGGAUUUGCCGAAGACUGGAUAUCACUUGUUAUGCGGUGUGUUACUUCGGUGAGUUUUCAAGUGAAGGUGAAUGGUACGCUGCUCGCACCAUUUCAGCCUUCGAGGGGCUUCCGUCAAGGGGACCCCAUUUCCCCAUAUCUUUUCUUGCUUUGUGGCGAAGGUUUAUCAUGUAUGUUAAAGAACUAUGAUAGUGGAUGGAUUGAUCGUGGAGUCCGUGUGGGUCUCAUGGCACCAUGGAUAUCGCAUUUGCUUUUUGCAGAUGACUGUUUGGUUUUUAUGAAAUCGGAUGGAAGAAGUGCAAUGAGACUGAAUGAGAUACUGGAGGCCUAUGAGUUAGGAUCCGGUCAGAGGGUGAACAAGUCGAAGAGUUCAGUCUACUUCAGCCCAAACACUGGGGCGUCGAUGAAAGUGGGGGUAAGAAAUAAUUUGCAAAUACAGAGAGAAGCCCUGCCUGAGAAAUAUCUGGGUCUCCCUACAGCAGCAGGCAGAAUCACUGAGAGAUAA
rnacentral:rRNA from 1 species